ACGGGUGAGUAACACGUAUCCAACCUGCCGUCUACUCUUGGCCAGCCUUCUGAAAGGAAGAUUAAUCCAGGAUGGCAUCAUGAGUUCACAUGUCCGCAUGAUUAAAGGUAUUUUCCGGUAGACGAUGGGGAUGCGUUCCAUUAGAUAGUAGGCGGGGUAACGGCCCACCUAGCCAACGAUGGAUAGGGGUUCUGAGAGGAAGGUCCCCCACAUUGGAACUGAGACACGGUCCAA
rnacentral:rRNA from 1 species